UCUAGAUUAUAAACUUAUUUGCCUGAGCACUAUGAAUAUAAUAAGAUUCUGUGUUAAUUUAAAACUCAAAAGACUUGGCGGUGUUUUAGACUUUUCAGGGGAACCUGUCUCUUAAUCGAUAGUCCACGAUAGACCUAACUUUAUUUUAAGGUAUGUAUACCGUCGUCAGCAGGUGACUUUUAAAAAAAUAAAAGUUAGCAAGUAAAAAAAUUUAUUUUUUAUGUCAGAUCAAGGUGCAGCUUAUAAAAAAGUGAGGAUGGGUUACAAUUAAUAAAAUUUUAAUUACGAAGAUGCUGAUGAAAUUCAUAUUUGAAGGAGGACUUGAAAGUAAAAAUUUGAUUAUAUAGAUGUUUUGAAUAUGGCUCUGAAACGUGCACACAUCGCCCGUCGCUCUCGUUGAAAAAUGAGAUAAGUCGUAACAUAGUAAUGGUAACGGAAGUUGUCGUUAGACG
rnacentral:rRNA from 1 species